CUGAGGACACAGCGUUCAUCCCCUCUAGAGAAUGCAGCAGGAAGGGUCCAUCUUGGAAGCUGAGACGGGACUCUCACCAGACACAGAGACUGCCAAUGCCUUGAUCUUGAACAUUCCAGCAUCCAGAACGGAUUCCCAGAGAGAAGGAAAGGGUGUCUUCACUAGGCUUCAUGGUAGCAAGCACAAUCACUGCAUAAGAAGUGCAGGGACAGCAGAGUGACCCUUCUGUGAACACAUCCAAUGACUGGAGUCCGGAGGCCUAUGGGCUGGAAGUGAGUGUGCCAACAACCAGAGCCCUGGGUAAGAAGGGAACUGCAUCGCAAGGAGGCCCAAUUAAACUGCAAUUACUCAAGAUAAGAAAACGAGGUCUGUUUACACAAUGGGGUUGUAAACCACCGGCUGUGACAAGAGAACUUUGAUCUGGUGGCAAGGGAGCUGUUUCUCAUGCAGGGCAGUGAUGAAACAAGGAGGUUUCCCAAUGAGGAUGUCUCCAUCUUCACCCCAGUAGCCCCAUCUUCUUCUGGUAGCACCCUUGCAUGGACAAGCGGAAAUCCUCACCCCUUCCCAGCCCCAGUAUCCACCUAACACAAUCAAAAAGUGAAGAAUAGAAAGAGAUGAGAUAGUGACUAAAAGGAAAAGAGAAUUGAUGGAGGUCAUCUUUGUGGAGGCGCUUGACAAGCAUGUUCUCACUGAACCGUCACAGUGACCUUCCACGUACCUUAUACCAUGCCUAUUUUACAGAUGAAGACACUGAGGUUCAGAGGAGAAUUUGGCUGGGACCCAUUCCACAGCUGCCUGGACCAGGAGUAAAGGCUCUAUCUCAUGUCUGGUGUCAAGAAGACAGUGUAAGGUGCGUUGGCUUCUGCCUCACCAGAGGGCCUGAAGGUGGAAAUAGAGUCCUGUGGAUCAAUCAACCAGUCGAUCAAUCAAUUACGGAAGGAAGAAAGAAAAUGUACAAAAGAGGAAUUGCCCAAAAGGUUUUGUGACAGGGAGCUGCUCUGAGGGCCGUGGUUAAUUUGGAGCUCUUUUUCUGCAAUGCACUUAGCUAAGCCUCAUGGCAGGACUACCCUCUAUGCUGGUACCAACUAGAGAUUCAGCUGACCCCCCAGGUACCCAUGUCCCACUGGAACUGCACAGGAGGGACGGAGGCCAAUGCCCAGAGCUGGCAAUGACUGACAGCCUCCCUGGGGUCCCUCCCAAGGUGACAUCCAGCAUGAACUCAGGCUUAUUUCCAGUGCCCUGUUCAUUCAGUGCUCGUACGUCUGCAAUACCCUUGAUUUCACAAUAUUUUAUUCUGUAUAGUGAAAGAAAUUAAGUGUCUAAUAAAUGG
rnacentral:lncRNA from 1 species